UACGAAGGGGGCUAGCGUUGUUCGGAAUUACUGGGCGUAAAGGGCGCGUAGGCGGCGUGUCAAGUCAGGCGUGAAAGCCCCGGGCUCAACCUGGGAACCGCGCUUGAGACUGGCAUGCUCGAGUUCGGGAGAGGAUGGUGGAAUUCCCAGUGUAGAGGUGAAAUUCGUAGAUAUUGGGAAGAACACCGAUGGCGAAGGCGGCCAUCUGGACCGACACUGACGCUGAGGCGCGAAAGCGUGGGGAGCAAACAGG
rnacentral:rRNA from 1 species